UUCCUUAAUAGCUUAACAGGUAGAGCGAUCGAUUGUUAAUCGAUACGAUAAUAGUUCGACCCUAUUUUAAGGAGG